rnacentral:rRNA from 1 species
UACGGAGGGUGCAAGCGUUAUCCGGAUUCACUGGGUUUAAAGGGUGCGUAGGCGGCUUGACAAGUCACUUGUGAAAUCUCCGGGCUUAACUCGGAACGGCCAAGUGAAACUGUCAUGCUAGAGUGCAGAAGGGGCAAUCGGAAUUCUUGGUGUAGCGGUGAAAUGCGUAGAUAUCAAGAGGAACACCUGAGGUGAAGACGGGUUGCUGGGCUGACACUGACGCUGAGGCGCGAAAGCCAGGGGAGCAAACGGG